UACGGGGGGGGUAAGCGUUGUUCGGAAUUACUGGGCGUAAAGGGCUCGUAGGCGGCCAACUAAGUCAGACGUGAAAUCCCUCAGCUUAACUGGGGAACUGCGUCUGAUACUGGAUGGCUUGGAUUUGGGAGAGGGAUGCGGAAUUCCAGGUGUAGCGGUGAAAUGCGUAGAUAUCGGGAGGAACACCAGUGGCGAAGGCGGCGACCUGGGCCAAUAUUGACGCUGAGGUGCGAAAGCGUGGGGAGCAAACAGG
rnacentral:rRNA from 1 species